rnacentral:rRNA from 1 species
CCAGACUCCUACGGGAGGCAGCAAUGGGGAAUAUUGGGCAAUGGGCGCAAGCCUGACCCAGCAACGCCGCGUGAAGGAAGAAGGCUUUCGGGUUGUAAACUUCUUUUAAGAGGGACGAAACAAAUGACGGUACCUGACUAAGAAGCCCCGGCUAACUACGUGCCAGCAGCCGCGGUAAUACGUAGGGGGCAAGCGUUAUCCGGAUUCACUGGGUGUAAAGGGAGCGUAGACGGCGACGCAAGUCUGGAGUGAAAGCCCGGGGCCCAACCCCGGGACUGCUCUGGAAACUGCGUCGCUGGAGUACGGGAGGGGCAGGCGGAAUUCCUGGUGUAGCGGUGAAAUGCGUAGAUAUCAGGAGGAACACCGGCGGCGAAGGCGGCCUGCUGGACCGUGACUGGCGUUGAGGCUCGAGAGCGUGGGGAGUAAACAGGAUUAGAUACCCUCGUA